rnacentral:rRNA from 1 species
AACGACUCUCGGCAACGGAUAUCUCGGCUCUCSCAUCGAUGAAGAACGUAGCGAAAUGCGAUACUUGGUGUGAAUUGCAGAAUCCCGUGAACCAUCGAGUCUUUGAACGCAAGUUGCGCCCCAAGCUGUUAGGCUGAGGGCACGUCUGCCUGGGUGUCACGC